rnacentral:rRNA from 1 species
AGCAGUACCGCGGUAAUACGUAGGUGGCGAGCGUUGUCCGGAAUCAUUGGGCGUAAAGGGAGCGCAGGCGGGCAUGUAAGUCUUUCUUAAAAGUGCGGGGCUCAACCCCGUGAUGGGAAAGAAACUACAUGUCUUGAGUACAGGAGAGGAAAGCGGAAUUCCCAGUGUAGCGGUGAAAUGCGUAGAUAUUGGGAGGAACACCAGUGGCGAAGGCGGCUUUCUGGACUGCAACUGACGCUGAGGCUCGAAAGCCAGGGGAGCGAACGGGAUUAGAUACCCCCGUAGUCCCUGUCUCUUAUACAC